rnacentral:rRNA from 1 species
AUUGAACGCUGGCGGAAUGCUUUACACAUGCAAGUCGAACGGCAGCACGGGGGCAACCCUGGUGGCGAGUGGCGAACGGGUGAGUAAUACAUCGGAACGUGCCCAGUCGUGGGGGAUAACGUAGCGAAAGCUACGCUAAUACCGCAUACGAUCUACGGAUGAAAGCGGGGGAUCGCAAGACCUCGCGCGAUUGGAGCGGCCGAUGGCAGAUUAGGUAGUUGGUGGGGUAAAGGCUCACCAAGCCGACGACCUGUAGCUGGUCUGAGAGGACGACCAGCCACACUGGGACUGAGACACGGCCCAGACUCCUACGGGAGGCAGCAGUGGGGAAUUUUGGACAAUGGGCGCAAGCCUGAUCCAGCCAUUCCGCGUGCAGGAUGAAGGCC